rnacentral:rRNA from 1 species
GCCAACAGCUAGCUCUCUGCAACUCUCACAUGGUCACCCACUGAAGCUAAGCAGGGCUGUGCCCAGUCAGUACCUGGAUGGGAGACCACAUGGGGGAAAGCUAGGUUGCUGCCGGAA